rnacentral:rRNA from 1 species
GAUGAACGCUGGCGGCGUGCUUAACACAUGCAAGUCGAACGGAAAGGCCCAAGCUUGCUUGGGUACUCGAGUGGCGAACGGGUGAGUAACACGUGGGUGAUCUGCCCUGCACUUCGGGAUAAGCCUGGGAAACUGGGUCUAAUACCGGAUAGGACCACUUCUUGGAUGUUGUGGUGGAAAGUUUUUUCGGUGUGGGAUGAGCUCGCGGCCUAUCAGCUUGUUGGUGGGGUAAUGGCCUAACAAGGCGUCUACGGGUAGCCGGGCUGGGAGGGUGUACGGCCAAAUUGGGGAUGGGGUAAGGCCCAGACUCCUACGGGGGGCAGCAGGGGGGAAUAUUGCACAAUGGGCGCAAGCCUGAUGCAGCGACGCCGCGUGGGGGAUGACGGGCUUCGGGUUGUAAACUCCUUUCGCUAGGGACGAAGCGUUUUGUGACGGUACCUGGAGAAGAAGCACCGGCUAACUACGUG